UCGGGUAAUGAGACCGGCGCACGGGUGCGUAACGCGUAUGCAAUCUACCUUUUACAGGGGAAUAGCCCAGAGAAAUUUGGAUUAAUGCCCCAUAGUAUAUAACAUUCGCAUGUUUGUUAUAUUAAAGUUCCAACGGUAAAAGAUGAGCAUGCGUCCCAUUAGUUAGUUGGUAAGGUAACGGCUUACCAAGACUAUGAUGGGUAGGGGUCCUGAGAGGGAGAUCCCCCACACUGGUACUGAGACACGGACCAGACUCCUACGGGAGGCAGCAGUGAGGAAUAUUGGACAAUGGGCGCAAGCCUGAUCCAGCCAUGCCGCGUGCAGGAAGAAGCAUCUAUGGUGUGUAAACUGCUUUUGUACAGGAAGAAACACUCCCUCGUGAGGGAGCUUGACGGUACUGUAAGAAUAAGGAUCGGCUAACUCCGUGCCAGCAGCCGCGGUAAUACGGAGGAUCCAAGCGUUAUCCGGAAUCAUUGGGUUUAAAGGGUCCGUAGGCGGUUUGAUAAGUCAGUGGUGAAAGCCCAUCGCUCAACGAUGGAACGGCCAUUGAUACUGUCAGACUUGAAUUACUAGGAAGUAACUAGAAUAUGUAGUGUAGCGGUGAAAUGCUUAGAUAUUACAUGGAAUACCAAUUGCGAAGGCAGGUUACUACUAGUGGAUUGACGCUGAUGGACGAAAGCGUGGGGAGCGAACAGGAUUAGAUACCCUGGUAGUCCACGCCGUAAACGAUGGAUACUAGCUGUUGGGUGCAAACUCAGUGGCUAAGCGAAAGUGAUAAGUAUCCCACCUGGGGAGUACGUUCGCAAGAAUGAAACUCAAAGGAAUUGACGGGGGCCCGCACAAGCGGUGGAGC
rnacentral:rRNA from 1 species